rnacentral:rRNA from 1 species
UACGACCAUAUCACUUUGAAACAUCGGUUCCUGUACGAUCACCGAAGUUAAGCAAUGUCGAGCCUGAUCAGUACCUAGAUGGGUAACUACUUGGGAAUACCAGGUGUUGCCAG